CACCAGUCAGCUGUUCUGUGUGUGACCGCUCCAGCAACCAUGGCGUCCCUUCACACACUUGUUGUCUUUGUAUUGGCUCUCCUGGCAGUAGUCUCCUGCAUGCCCAUGCCUAACCCUGGUGGCUUUGGCGGCAAACAUGAACAUUACAUUAUCCACGUGCCGUACCACGUACACACAGUGCACCACUACCACAAGGUGCCCGUGUACAUCCACAAGGAACAUCACUACGUCAAGUCUCACGGAUGGGACUGGGACUGAUCUCGUGAUUGUCUUCACUAUCUCUCGCCUUGUCUCCCUCACCCAAGUACAACCCCGUGUCGUACCUGAUCCCUGUGUUACCAGCUACCAGCUACCAGCUCACUUCUAGCUUUAAGUCCUGUUGUAAAGUCUGUACCAUACAUUUUAAGACUUGUUAAAUAUAGCUUUAUAUUUUUUUGUA